AUGACUACACUCAAGUUCCUGCUCCUGCUGGUGUCUCCACCUCAGAUCCAUCAACACACGGUUGUUCUGAACUCCUCUUCCUGCUCAUCUGAAAAUCCCCACCCAGCAGUGGACGCUGGCCCCCACCCACCUCCCACUCAUGUCCUUAUCACACUCCAGCACACGGAGACUCACUUCCUCAUCAGACUCCAGCACACGGGGACUCACCUCCUCAUCACACUCCAGCACACGGAGACUCACCUCCUCAUCACACUCCAGCACACGGAGACUCACUCCAGCACACACGGAGACUCACCUCCUCAUCACACUCCAGCACACGGAGACUCACUUCCUCAUCAGACUCCAGCACACGGAGACUCACCUCCUCAUCACACUCCAGCACACGGAGACUCACCUCCUCAUCACACUCCAGCACACGGAGACUCACUCCAGCACACACGGAGACUCACCUCCUCAUCACACUCCAGCACACGGAGACUCACUUCCUCAUCAGACUCCAGCACACGGAGACUCACCUCCUCAUCAUACUCCAGCACACGAAGACUCACUCCAGCACACACGGAGACUCACCGCCUCAUCACACGCCAGCACACGGAGACUCACUUGCUCAUCACACUCCAGCACACAGAGACUCACCUCCUCAUCACACGCCAGCACACAGAGACUCACUUCCACCUCACACUCCAGCACACGGAGACUCACUUCCACCUCACACUCCAGCACACGGGGACUCACCUCCUCAUCACACUCCAGCACACGGAGACUCACUGCCUCAUCACACACCAGCACACGGGGACUCACCUCCUCAUCAUACUCCAGCACACGAAGACUCACUCCAGCACACACGGAGACUCACCGCCUCAUCACACUCCAGCACACGGAGACUCACUGCCUCAUCACACGCCAGCACACGGAGACUCACUUCCACCUCACACGCCAGCACACGGGGACUCACCGCCUCAUCACACGCCGGCACGCGGACACUCACCGCCUCAUCACACGCCGGCACGCGGACACUCACCGCCUCAUCACACUCCAGCACACGGAGACUCACUUCCAUCUCACACGCCAGCACACGGGGACUCACCUCCUCAUCACACUCCAGCACACGGAGACUCACUCCAGCACACACGGAGACUCACCACCUCAUCACACUCCAGCACACGGAGACUCACUGCCUCAUCACAGGCCAGCACACGGAGACUCACUGCCUCAUCACACGCCAGCACACGGAGACUCACUUCCACCUCACACGCCAGCACACAGGGACUCACCGCCUCAUCACACUCCAGCACGCGGAGACUCACCGCCUCAUCACACGCCGGCACGCGGACACUCACCGCCUCAUCACACGCCGGCGCGCGGAGAGUGGCUUCAGGACUGAACCCUGUGGAAACAGCCGUGCUCAGGCGCGGUCCUGUCUUUACUUUGUCUUAG
rnacentral:lncRNA from 1 species